UCUGACUAUAGCUGUUAAAUCUUUCUAAUCUAGGGUGUCAUUCAAAGCCAUUGUUUCUUUGUCGAUUUUCUCUUUAGACGAUCUGUUCAUUGAGGAAACCAGUGAACAAACUACCAUGCCUUCUUACUCCUGUGAACCUUUAGAAGAUUUGAAACUCCUCUUCAAACGACUAUGAAGUGUCUCCCUGCCUGGUCUCCCUGGGGAGACUCUUCCAACUGCCGUUACUUCAAGCUGACCGAUGAUCUUUUCUACUUGAGGAGAUUUGCAUGGGUUUGUCUACCUUGGAUUCGGCUGCCUCUGCCUUUGGUAACUCCUCUGUAUAAAUUCCCCAACUGACCGAUGUUGACUUGUAGGUAGGGACAUCGCUGUUCCCCUCUUCAGCAGAAAGAAGUUACAGAAGA